UACGUAGGCAGCGAGCGUUGUUCGGAGUUACUGGGCGUAAAGGGCGUGUAGGCGGUUGUUUAAGUUUGGUGUGAAAUCUCCCGGCUCAACUGGGAGGGUGCGCCGAAUACUGAAUGACUUGGAGUGCGGGAGAGGUGAGUGGAAUUCCUGGUGUAGCGGUGAAAUGCGUAGAUAUCAGGAGGAACACCGGUGGUGUAGACGGCUCACUGGACCGUAACUGACGCUGAGACACGAAAGCGUGGGUAGCAAACAGG
rnacentral:rRNA from 1 species